rnacentral:rRNA from 1 species
UAAGACGUAGGGAGCGAGCGUUGUCCGGAUUCAUUGGGCGUAAAGCGCGCGCAGGCGGCCAGGCAAGUCGGGUGUGAAAAUCCGGGGCUCAACCCCGGACCUGCAUCCGAAACUGCCCGGCUAGAGGUAGGUAGGGGAGAUCGGAAUUCCUGGUGUAGCGGUGAAAUGCGCAGAUAUCAGGAGGAACACCGGUGGCGAAGGCGGAUCUCUGGGCCUUACCUGACGCUCAGGCGCGAAAGCUAGGGGAGCGAACAGGAUUAGAUACCCUGGUAGUCCUAGCCGUAAACGUUGGGUGCUAGGUGUGGGAGGAUAUUGACCCCUUCCGUGCCGAAGCUAACGCAUUAAGCACCCCGCCUGGGGAGUACGGCCGCAAGGCUA